rnacentral:rRNA from 1 species
CUACGGGGCGCUGCAGUGGGGAAUAUUGCACAAUGGAGGAAACUCUGAUGCAGCAACGCCGCGUGGAGGAUGACACUUUUCGGAGCGUGAACUCCUUUUAUAUAGGAAGAAGAUGACGGUACUAUAUGAAUAAGCGCCGGCUAACUCCGUGCCAGCAGCCGCGGUAAUACGGAGGGCGCAAGCGUUACUCGGAAUCACUGGGCGUAAAGAGCGUGUAGGCGGAUUAAAAAGUCAGAAGUGAAAUCCUAUAGCUUAACUAUAGAACUGCUUCUGAAACUCUUAAUCUAGAAUAUGGGAGAGGUAGAUGGAAUUUCUGGUGUAGGGGUAAGAUCCGUAGAGAUCAGAAGGAAUACCGAUUGCGAAGGCGAUCUACUAGAACAUUAUUGACGCUGAGACGCGAAAGCGUGGGGAGCAAACAGGAUUAGAUACCCUCGUAGUC